rnacentral:rRNA from 1 species
CCCUACGGGGCGCAGCAGGCGCGAAAACUUUACAAUGCGGGAAACCGUGAUAAGGGAACUCCGAGUGCCCGUAAAAUCGGGCUGUCCACCUGUUUAAAUAACAGGUGAAGAAAGGGCCGGGCAAGACCGGUGCCAGCCGCCGCGGUAAUACCGGCGGCUCGAGUGGUGGCCACUAUUACUGGGCUUAAAGCGUUCGUAGCUGGUCUGUUAAGUCUCUGGGGAAAUCUACUGGCUUAACCAAUAGUCGUCUCAGGGAUACUGGCAGAUCUAGGACCGGGAGAGGU